rnacentral:lncRNA from 1 species
CUUCUUUUCGCACUGACUUUUUGUGCAUUGUUGGUUAUUUGAUUCGUCUACAGUGACAACCACAAUUGUUGAAAAAUCACAUUUGCUUCUACAGUGGAGCCACAAUUCAACCGCCAUUCAUCUCAAGAACAGAAAGAGAUAAUAGUCAGCCUUUCAAUUAUUGAACUCUUAUCACAUGUGAGAUUUGGUUUUCGAUCUAGUGCUCCAUCUUCUUCGUACGUCUUCACUUUCACUUUGUCAUCUUCUAUACCUUGAUUAAUUUCCAAAAACAAAAUCACAAGCUCGAAAUCGGCUUCUCCUUCUUCUUCGGCUGGUGGGUUACAG